UACGAAGGGGGCUAGCGUUGCUCGGAAUUACUGGGCGUAAAGGGAGCGUAGGCGGACAUUUUAAGUCAGGGGUGAAAUCCCAGAGCUCAACUCUGGAACUGCCUUUGAUACUGGAUGUCUUGAGUGUGAGAGAGGUAUGUGGAACUCCGAGUGUAGAGGUGAAAUUCGUAGAUAUUCGGAAGAACACCAGUGGCGAAGGCGACAUACUGGCUCAUUACUGACGCUGAGGCUCGAAAGCGUGGGGAGCAAACAGG
rnacentral:rRNA from 1 species